rnacentral:rRNA from 1 species
UACGUAGGGACCGAGCGUUGUCCGGAAUCAUUGGGCGUAAAGGGCGCGUAGGCGGCCAGCACAAGUCAGUUGUGAAAUCUCCGAGCUUAACUCGGAAAGGUCAACUGAUACUGUGCGGCUAGAGUGCGGAAGGGGCAACUGGAAUUCUUGGUGUAGCGGUGAAAUGCGUAGAUAUCAAGAGGAACACCUGCGGCGAAGGCGGGUUGCUGGGCCGACACUGACGCUGAGGCGCGAAAGCCAGGGGAGCGAACGGG